rnacentral:rRNA from 1 species
GACGUAGGGCGCGAGCGUUGUCCGGAUUUAUUGGGCGUAAAGAGCUCGUAGGCGGCUUGUCGCGUCGAAUGUGAAAACCCACAGCUCAACUGUGGGCUUGCAUUCGAUACGGGCAGGCUAGAGUUCGGUAGGGGAGACUGGAAUUCCGGGUGUAGCGGUGGAAUGCGUAGAGAUCCGGAAGAACACCGGUGGCGAAGGCGGUCCGCUGGGGUGUUGCUGACGCUGAGGCGCGACAGCGUGGGGAGCAAACAGG